CUCUAGCUUGCUAGAAGUGGAUUAGUGGCGCACGGGUGAGUAAUGCAUAGGUUAUGUGCCCCAUAGUCUGGGAUAGCCACUGGAAACGGUGAUUAAUACUAGAUACUCCUUACGAGGGAAAGUUUUUCGCUAUGGGAUCAGCCUAUGUCCUAUCAGCUUGUUGGUGAGGUAAUGGCUCACCAAGGCUAUGACGGGUAUCCGGCCUGAGAGGGUGAACGGACACACUGGAACUGAGACACGGUCCAGACUCCUACGGGAGGCAGCAGUAGGGAAUAUUGCUCAAUGGGCGAAAGCCUGAAGCAGCAACGCCGCGUGGAGGAUGAAGGUUUUAGGAUUGUAAACUCCUUUUGUUAGAAAAGAUUAUGACGGUAUCUCACGAAUAAGCAC
rnacentral:rRNA from 1 species